rnacentral:rRNA from 1 species
AACGAACGCUGGCGGCAGGCCUAACACAUGCAAGUCGAGCGAGACCUUCGGGGCUAGCGGCGGACGGGUGAGUAACGCGUGGGAACGUGCCCUUUGCUACGGAAUAGCCCCGGGAAACUGGGAGUAAUACCGUAUGUGCCCUUCGGGGGAAAGAUUUAUCGGCAAAGGAUCGGCCCGCGUUGGAUUAGGUAGUUGGUGGGGUAAUGGCCUACCAAGCCGACGAUCCAUAGCUGGUUUGGGAGGAUGAUCAGCCACACUGGGACUGGGACACGGCCCGGAACCCUACGGGGGGCAGAAGUGGGGAAUCUUAGAAAAUGGGGGAAACCCUGAUCUAGCCAUGCCGCGUGAACGAUGAAGGCCUUAGGGUUGUAAAGCUCUUUCAAGUGGGAAGAUAAUGACGGUACCACCAGAAGAAGCCCCGGCUAACUCCGUGCCAGCAGCCGCCGUAA